UUAAAGUUGGAACCAGGUUUCCGUAGGUGAACCUGCGGAAAGAUCAUUAUUGGAAUUACCGGUGAGGGUUGUAGCUGGCCCUUNGGGGCAAGNUCACGCUCGAGCCUUUAAUCCAACACACACCUGUGAACCCAAUGUAAGGGCCCGUAAAAAAGGCCCCUACGUCUUUAUCACCAACUCUGUAUUCAUAGAAUGUAAUCCAUAUCUUCGCCUUAAACAAGCGUUGGUAAACUUUAUACAACUUUCAACAACGGAUCUCUUGGCUCUCGCAUCGAUGAAGAACGCAGCGAAAUGCGAUAAGUAAUGUGAAUUGCAGAUUUUCAGUGAAUCAUCGAAUCUUUGAACGCACCUUGCGCCCCUUGGUAUUCCGAGGGGCAUGCCUGUUUGAGUGUCAUUAAAUUCUCAACUCUGAUUUGAUUUGUUUCUAAUCAGAGCUUGGACUUGGAGUGUGCUGGCGUCUAGUCGGCUCCUCUCAAAUGCAUCAGCGGAAUUUAAAACCUUUGGUUUCCGGACGUCGGUGUAAUAAUAAAGUUGCGCCGUCUUUCAACUUCAAAGUCCGCUUAUAAUGGUCUUCGAACGAACUCUUAUAUCAAAUUUGACCUCAAAUCAGGUAGGACUACCCGCUGAACUUAAGCUUAUCAAUAAGCGAAGAAAAAAAAACUAAC
rnacentral:rRNA from 1 species